rnacentral:miRNA from 1 species
GCUGACACAUCCCAGCCAAUCUCCAGAAGACCCUCCCUCCCAGACCCUCCCACCUCCUUGACAGCAUCCAUGUUGAAGCUGCCUUCAACAUGGAUGCUGUCCAGGAAUUGGGAGGGUCUGGGAGGGAGGGACUGCUGGAGAUUGGCCGGGAUGUGUCAG